GUCCCUUGGCCCCGACGGCGUCAAGGAUCCCGUCAUGGCUUGUGACGUCUAUUCUGCCCUCUUGACCGGUAUUGCCCCGCCUUACUGCUCCGAAAUUCGCAGUCAGAAUGGCUUCUACAACAGCCCCCGAUAUUAAACCCCUGUUGUUGAAGGAAUUCUUCCUUGGGCCCCCUCUGAGACGACAGAGAUUCUCACCGGCCAUCGUCCUCCUCCUCGCCUUCCUCCAAGCCCUAACAAUCCCCUCAAGAACAGCCUCCAGAGUUGAGGACAUGGUGUGGAAACCCUCAGAGAAGGAUUGAUGGGC
rnacentral:lncRNA from 1 species